rnacentral:lncRNA from 1 species
CAGGUGGGGAGCUGGGUUCCGGCAGGCUCCCAGAGCUGCAGGUACAGGCCAGUUUCAGGCCGGUGUGGGGGACAUCCUGAGGUCACGCUGUGUCCUGCAGCCUGCCCUGACCACAGCUCGGGUGUCUGUGAGGGCAGCAGGCAUGGGGGCGGGGCGCUGCUCCCCACAGAGGGGCUCUGGGGCAGCAGGACCCUGUCCCCAGCUGUCUCCUUGCUGCAUGGGCCCCGAACAGGAUUGAGUCAGACCUGAGGUCAGAGGGGCUUGACCAGCAGGGUCCCUGCCCUGAGGUUCAGCUCAGAGCCCUCUCACUGCCCGUCCCCCCUGACUCACUUCUUGGUCCCUGUCCACCUGCGCCCAUGUGGACCCCUCUGGGGUGCAGCCUUGCUGGGUCCCAGCCUCGGCUCCCCUCUGCCUGUGGUCUCUGCCCUUUGUCCACGGCCUUGCAGCUGCACAUCCCAGCACACCCAGCCCAAGCCUGUCGCUGGCUCUGAGCGCCUGCUCGUUGGGUCCUGGGCCUGGCCUCCUGGACAGCUGCUCACCGAGCCGGGGGCCCCAGGGUCCAGCCUGCAGGGCCCUGCCCAGGGACUGGGAAGUUCCAGCAGGGAGAGCCUGCCGGCAGGCAGCAGCCCUGAGCACCCAGCCUGAGCCGGCCGGCGUGUCCUGCGAGCCACAGCUCCUUCCUGCUGGCGGCUUCCGUCCUGCAGCAGCCCUGCCCCAGCCCGGGGCUGCCCCGCCCAUGUCCCAGGCUUGGUGACAACAGUGGAGUGGACGUCAAGGGCCCAGGCUUCCUUCAGCCCCUCCUGGCCUCUGCCUCACCCAGCCCCCUUACCCUGCGGCUGCCUGCCCUGGGCCCAGCCCCCCUUGCUCCCCAGCCCCAGUCCCUCCUCUCCCUGGACCCAGCUUGCGACCUUCAACCUGGCAGAUGGACAUGUGGUGAGCAACCCCCCAGGCCAGGCCCCCGCUAGUGUGCUGGUCAUUGCUGAGGGUCACUGCUAGGUCUCUUCCUCUCCAGACCCGGGAUGCGCUCUGCCCACAGUGGGGGGCUGGACAGCUGGGCGGGGGCCUCUCUCCCUGGCUGGUUGGGCCUGCAGUGGGGAAGGGCCACUGUCUUCAUUGUUCCUUCCACAAACCAUACCUAGGAGGUCCUGAAUUUUGUUAAGGGGGAAAGGACGUUUCUAGAACCACAGCUGGGGUAGGGUGGGGGGCAGCGCUGUGGUGCAAUGGGUUAAAGCCCUG